rnacentral:rRNA from 1 species
UCUGGCUCAGGACGAACGCUGGCGGCGUGCUUAACACAUGCAAGUCGAACGGUAAGGCCCUUUCGGGGGUACACGAGUGGCGAACGGGUGAGUAACACGUGGGUAAUCUGCCCUGCACUUCGGGAUAAGCCUGGGAAACUGGGUCUAAUACCGGAUAGGAACUUCUGCCGCAUGGUGGGGGUUGGAAAGUUUUUCGGUGCAGGAUGAGCCCGCGGCCUAUCAGCUUGUUGGUGGGGUAAUGGCCUACCAAGGCGACGACGGGUAGCCGGCCUGAGAGGGUGAUCGGCCACACUGGGACUGAGACACGGCCCAGACUCCUACGGGAGGCAGCAGUGGGGAAUAUUGCACAAUGGGCGGAAGCCUGAUGCAGCGACGCCGCGUGGGGGAUGACGGUCUUCGGAUUGUAAACCCCUUUCAGUAGGGACGAAGCGCAAGUGACGGUACCUGCAGAAGAAGCACCGGCCAACUACGUGCCAGCAGCCGCGGUAAUACGUAGGGUGCGAGCGUUGUCCGGAAUUACUGGGCGUAAAGAGCUCGUAGGCGGUUUGUCGCGUCGUCUGUGAAAUCCUCCAGCUUAACUGGGGGCGUGCAGGCGAUACGGGCAGACUUGAGUACUACAGGGGAGACUGGAAUUCCUGGUGUAGCGGUGAAAUGCGCAGAUAUCAGGAGGAACACCGGUGGCGAAGGCGGGUCUCUGGGUAGUAACUGACGCUGAGGAGCGAAAGCAUGGGUAGCGAACAGGAUUAGAUACCCUGGUAGUCCAUGCCGUAAACGGUGGGCGCUAGGUGUGGGGGUCUUCCACGACUUCCGUGCCGUAGCUAACGCAUUAAGCGGCCCCCC